rnacentral:rRNA from 1 species
AAUGAACGCUGGCGGCAGGCCUAACACAUGCAAGUCGAACGAGUGGCGGACGGGUGAGUAAUGCAUGGGCAUCUGGCUAAUGUAGGGGGAUAACUACGGGAAACUGUAGCUAAUACCGCUUACCAUAGUAUGAGCCCAGGUGGGAUUAGUGAGUUGGUGGGGUAAAGGCUCACCAAGCCGACGAUCUCUAGCUGGUCUGAGAGGAUGAGGAGCAACACUGGGACUGGGAAACGGCCCAGACUCCUACGGGAGGAAGAAGUGGGGAUUAUUGGAAAAUGGGGGAAGGCCUGAUGCAGCAAUGCCGCGUGUAGGAAGAAGGCCUUAGGGUUGUAAAGUACUUUCAGCGGGGAGGCGGUACCCGCAGAAGAAGCACCGGCUAACUCCGUGCCAGCAGCCGCGGUAAUAC